rnacentral:rRNA from 1 species
CGGCGUGGAUGAGGCAUGCAAGUCGAACGAAGUUUAGCAUUAAACUUAGUGGCGGAAGGGUUAAGUAAUACAUGGGUAACUUGCCUUUAACACUGGGAUAACGGUUGCAAACGAUCGCUAAUACCGGAUGAGGUGGUCCAGGGCAUCCUGGAUUUAUCAAAGUGGGGGAUCGUAAGACCUCGCAGUUAGAGAGAGGCCCAUGGGAUAUCAGCUAGUUGGUGAGGUAAGAGCUCACCAAGGCUAAGACGUCUAGGCGGAUUGAGAGAUUGACCGCCAACACUGGGACUGA